rnacentral:rRNA from 1 species
UACGGAGGCCUCGAGCGUUAGGCGGAAUCACUGGGCUUAAAGCGUGUGUAGGCGGAUGCCUAAGUGCUUUGUGAAAUCCCACGGCUCAACCGUGGAAUUGCUUGGCAUACUGGGUGUCUUGAGCCAUCUAGGGGCGAGCGGAACAAGUGGUGGAGCGGUGAAAUGCGUAGAUAUCACUUGGAACGCCAACGGUGAAAACAGCUCGCUGGGGAUGUGCUGACGCUGAGACACGAAAGCCAGGGGAGCGAACGGG